GACGAACGCUGGCGGCGUGCUUAACACAUGCAGGUCGAACGGAAAGGCCCCCAUCUUGGUGGGGGUGCUCGAGUGGCGAACGGGUGAGUAACACGUGGGUGAUCUGCCCUGUACUUCGGGAUAAGCUUGGGAAACUGGGUCUAAUACCGGAUAGGACCAUGGUUUAGUGUCUCAUGGUGGAAAGAUUAUUGUUUUGGUGCAGGAUGAGCUCGCGGCCUAUCAGCUUGUUGGCGGGGUAAUGGCCUACCAAGGCGUCGACGGGUAGCCGGCCUGAGAGGGUGGACAGGCGAAUUGGGACUGAGAGACGGCUCAGACGCGUGCGGGAGGCAGCAGUGGGGAAGAUUGCACAGUGGGCGCGAGCCUGCUGCAGCGACGCCGCGUGGGGGGUGUCGGCCUUCGGGUAGUAAACUCCUUGGGUUAGGGACGAAGCCACGGUUUUUGGGUGUGGUGACGGUACCUUUGUUAAGAAGCACCGGCUAACUACGUG
rnacentral:rRNA from 1 species